CAGUUCUGACCGGUUCGUGUGUUCUUUGUUAUCGGGAAGUGCAAACGCGGAUCAUUCUGUUUUCUGCGAGCUUCCAUAAACCUUGUAAGUAGUUACCUAUUAUAUACGAUGGAACCGGAUGAAAUCCAGAUAUUCAUCAAGGGCAUAGAGGGACGGUCGACCACCAUAGAGAUUCAUAAGGUAUGGUACAUGGGCGAAAAUCGAUUUAGCAAUUGAUGAAAAUUUUGGCCACUUUUAAAUUUUCGCUACCGACACAAAGGGAGAUGCAGAAAAGGCUUCCGGCCUUUUGAAGUCGUUAGCUUUAUUGCUGUGGAUCGUACCCAUCUCUGUAUUCCAUACCAAGUCUGCUUAUAGCACCACUAAUAGAAUGUGCAACGUAAAAUGAAACUGUCGUUUAUAGAUGUUCUUAGAUUUCGCAAACAGUCGCUACGUCCACGAUCGUCACAAAAAAUCGAAUAUCACAUGAUUUGAGACCAAUUUCGAUAUAUUAAAAUUCAGCCUAACACAACAGUCCUCAAUACGAGGCACCGGGGAAUAAACCCCACAAACUCGGUGUUUUUUGGAUUCUAAGGUACAUUAAUUAAACUACGCAACGAGAUGUGACCACCAUUCCCAGCCUCUCCACACCCUCACAACAUGCUCCACGCUACCCGACUCUACCACCAUUUUAAUCGGCGGAAAAAGGAUUGAGAAAAAAACAAUGUUUUCUGUCGUUGAUCGGUAUUCCUUGCAGACACUAAUUUACUUCAUCUUUAGAAUGGUUAUCCAUAACUGUCACAAACCAAGUUUCUUUGAAGAUUUGCAUAUGUGCAGCUUUUGGGGAACACGAGGCAAUUGUUUAUCGGAGAGGAUAACGAUUGCCUUAUCUUCUACUUUUAUCCAAGCUUCUCCAAGCUUAAACAUGAAUGAUUUUGUACGGUAUGUAGUUAUAAAUAGAGUGGAAUUUUCUUACCUUGAAAUAAGAUCUCUUCUUAAGCUCGUCAUAUCUGCAACUUUCGAACUCUCAGGGAAAAAACCCAGGAAAUUUAUAACUGUCGCUCAGAAGCUAUUGAAUGUAAAUACUGGAAGUCGCCCAAGACUCAUCGGCCAAUCAAAGUUUCCGAGAAACUCAAAUUUGAAAUUUUGCCAAGAAAAAAUCAAAUUACGUUCACUCUGGAAAGCACAAGAACUGCUGCAGAACGUAUGUACCGACUCUGAGGCUCCAAAGAGGGACAAAUGGCAGCGAAGCUAAACCCUUUUAAUAGUAAAAGUCUUUUUCAAGCCGAUUUGACAAGAUUAUGACCAUAAAAGGACUUGAGCAAUCCGGGAAAACCCCUUUCGUUUUGGGGACUUUCCAAGAAAACCAAGGUGACAUUAUAACGUUGGCCAAUCGAAGGCUCGCGGAAUUUUCCGUCAAAAAUGAAAAUCGCUUCUUCGAUUAAACAACCGGCUUUGUCCUCCGGUUCUGACCGGUUCGUGUGUUCUUUGUUAUCGGGAACUGAUCGGAAUCGGGAUCAUUCUGUUUUCUGCGAGCUUCCAUAAACCUUGUAAGUAGUUACCUAUUAUUUACGAUGGAACCGGAUGAAAUCCAGAUAUUCAUCAAGGGCAUAGAGGGACGGUCGACCACCAUAGAGAUUCAUAAGUAGUUACCUAUUAUUUACGAUGGAACCGGAUGAAAUCCAGAUAUUCAUCAAGGGCAUAGAGGGACGGUCGACCACCAUAGAGAUUCAUAAGUAGUUACCUAUUAUUUACGAUGGAACCGGAUGAAAUCCAGAUAUUCAUCAAGGGCAUAGAGGGACGGUCGACCACCAUAGAGAUUCAUAAGUAGUUACCUAUUAUUUACGAUGGAACCGGAUGAAAUCCAGAUAUUCAUCAAGGGCAUAGAGGGACGGUCGACCACCAUAGAGAUUCAUAAGUAGUUACCUAUUAUUUACGAUGGAACCGGAUGAAAUCCAGAUAUUCAUCAAGGGCAUAGAGGGACGGUCGACCACCAUAGAGAUUCAUAAGGUAUAAUACAUGGGCUAAAUCAGAGAAUAAUCGCGAAAAUCGACUCAGCGAUUAAUGAAAAUUUUGGCCACUUUUAAAUUUUCGCUAUCGACACAAAGGGAGAUGCAGAAAAGGCUUCCGGCAUUUUGAAGUCGUUAGCUUUAUUAUUGUGAGUCGUACCCAUCUCUGUAUUCCAUGCCAAGCCUGCUUAU